rnacentral:rRNA from 1 species
UACGUAGGUGGCAAGCGUUACUCGGAAUCACUAGGCGUAAAGCGCAGGUAGGCGGUUUGGAAAGUCUGUUGUGAAAGCUCCCGGCUUAACUGGGAGAGGUCAACGGAAACUACCAGGCUAGAGUGUGGUAGAGGUAGCUGGAAUUCCCGGUGUAGCGGUGAAAUGCGUAGAUAUCGGGAGGAAUACCUAUGGCGAAAGCAGGCUACUGGACCAUCACUGACGCUGAUCUGCGAAAGCUAGGGGAGCAAACAGG